AAAAGUUGUGAUUAAUUGCAGUUUUAAUUUCACUGUUAAACAAUAAUAGAAUUCCAAUUUAAAUUCAGCAUGGGAGCACGGCCUCUAGAAUGGUGGUUGAAGCAUGAAAGGACAUACGAAUCUCUAACAAAUCUGGCUUGUA